AAGAUAGAUAGAAAGGUCGAAU
rnacentral:miRNA from 1 species